CCAGCACAUGUGUAACAAUGCUGUAAAACACUGUGUGCAUGUGUGUGUGUGUGUGUGUGUGCAGCCUCCCAGGUCAUAUCUAUACCCAGGAACUACUUAAACUGUUUUAAAAUCCAUUAAGAACUGAGGGGUGAGAGGCAAAAGCUAUUAGCCAGAUCACUGAGGGAGAACUAAACAUGGGUCAUCUUGGUCUCCUCCUUCCUCUACUAAAUCCAAGUGUCCCAAACACUGAAAACUGGGCACUGGACCUGAAGGACAGUGCACAUAUUCCUUCAUGUAAGCAAUGGAAAGCUCAGUCAGCCCUACUUCCUGCACUUUCUGACCUUUUGUAUAGGCAGGAAUUAAAGAAAAUUUAAAGGCUCCCAGAGAAAAAAAGACAAUUUUAUAUAUUGCUCUAUAUAUUAACCAUUACAAUCUUAGGAAUGUUCCAGAACCAAGGCAAAAGCAAUUAAUUUUCAUUUAAGUGAGGUGGUUUUCUUAUCUUCUCCCUCCAGAGACUCUCCCCACUGCUGCAUAAGGGGCCUACAGGGCAGUAACAGGAGCGUUCAGCUACACUUUGCUGUUUUUCUAGAAAAGGAAGUGAAAGUGCACUAACAUAGAAAGAACCUUAAAUUAAUGCUGCAGAUCAGCAAGAGCCACCUCACUCUGCCUGGGAGUGUCUCAUGGCCCCAGAUUAUCCAGCACACUCUGCAGACAGUCUGGACACCUCCUAAGCCACUUUGCUCCUCUGGAUGUCCUUCUCCUCACUUUUCCUGCACGCUGAGAGAGAGCAGGUGUCCAUCCACUGACCCCCAGCCAGGUGCUGAAAUGAAAUCCCAAGCUCCAGUGCACAGCAAAAGCAAAACCUUAGGAUGGAAAAAGGCUUCCCAGAGCUAUUUAAGAGGCAUCCUAACACAUGCCAGUGAAAUUCUGGGCUUCAGGAACUGCAAAUAGUUCAAACCUGAGUCUUUUCAGCAGCUGAAAACGGAUGGAGAACACGUCAGAAUGUGCUGUAAGAUAGUUAGCAACUGCAGGCCUCAGAACGGGAAAGCUCACUGACUUUACAGCACAGCACUGAUAGGAAUCCUGGCUUUACCAAGAAUUGCUUUAUCUAUCCCAGCUCUGCCUGUAACUCACGGCCCACCUCAUAAAACAAGUCCUUAUUUCAAGUGUUCUGAGCCUCUAACUCCAGCUUGAAGCCCAGGGUACACAUAUAAUAGAGAGAAACAAGAAGUAUUUCAAGCAAGUCCUCAGCUCUGCAGACAGAUCCCCACAGCAAACAAAGCUUCACUUGGCAAACCCCGGCCAUGCCCCGUGGCCUGAAGUCAACAGGCCUAAAGGCAAUGGGUUCCAAAGACAAACCCAAAUACACCACAAUGACACUGGACUGACACAGCCCCUCUCCUCUCCUGGCACUGCCUUCCAAACAGCAUCUCAGCAAAGCCUCUCAUCCAACACCAUCUGCAAACCCAGCUUCACUGGAAAGGAAACCCAAUGCUUCCAGUCAAGACAACUGAGGCUUCCCUGGAAGUAUGAGAACACAAAAGUUAAGACCUUAAGUGCAUUAUAAUCCCUCUCCUUUUCCUAUGGAGAUCCUAACCUUAAUUAAACACAUCUUAAUUUUU